UACAGAGGGUGCGAGCGUUAAUCGGAAUUACUGGGCGUAAAGCGUGCGUAGACGGUUCUGUAAGUCGGAUGUGAAAUCCCCGGGCUCAACCUGGGAAUUGCAUUCGAGACUGCAAGGCUUGGGUGCGGAAGAGGGAAGCGGAAUUUCCGGUGUAGCGGUGAAAUGCGUAGAUAUCGGAAGGAACAUCAGUGGCGAAAGCGGCUUCCUGGUCCAGCACCGACGUUCAGGCACGAAAGCGUGGGGAG
rnacentral:rRNA from 1 species